CAGAGGGCGCUUUGGCUUUGGCAGCGGUCCAAGUUCCUUGGAACAGGACGUCACAGAGGGUGAGAAUCCCGUACGUGGUCGCUAGCUAUUGCCGUGUAAAGCCCCUUCGACGAGUCGAGUUGUUUGGGAAUGCAGCUCUAAAUGGGAGGUAAAUUUCUUCUAAAGCUAAAUAUUGGCCAGAGACCGAUAGCGCACAAGUAGAGUGAUCGAAAGAUGAAAAGCACUUUGGAAAGAGAGUCAAACAGCACGUGAAAUUGUUGAAAGGGAAGCGCUUGCAGCCAGACUUGCUUGCAGUUGCUCAUCCGGGCUUUUGCCCGGUGCACUCUUCUGCAGGCAGGCCAGCAUCAGUUUGGGCGGUGGGAUAAAGGUCUCUGACACGUUCCUUCCUUCGGGUUGGCCAUAUAGGGGAGACGUCAUACCACCAGCCUGGACUGAGGUCCGCGCAUCUGCUAGGAUGCUGGCGUAAUGGCUGUAAGCGGCCCGUCUUGAAACACGGACCAAGGAGUCUAACAUCUAUGCGAGUGUUUGGGUGUCAAGCCCGAGCGCGUAAUGAAAGUGAACGGAGGUGGGAACCCGCAAGGGCGCACCAUCGACCGAUCCUGAAGUUUACGGAAGGAUUUGAGUAAGAGCAUGGCUGUUGGGACCCGAAAGAUGGUGAACUAUGCUUGAAUAGGGUGAAGCCAGAGGAAACUCUGGUGGAGGCUCGCAGCGGUUCUGACGUGCAAAUCGAUCGUCAAAUUUGGGCAUAGGGGCGAAAGACU
rnacentral:rRNA from 1 species